GCCUGUGUGGCUCAGUUGGUUGAGUACCCGACUUUAGCUCAGGUCAUGAUCUCAGAGUAGGUGAGUUGGAGCCCCGCCUCAGGCU
rnacentral:tRNA from 1 species